UUUUACCUUUCACAACAUCGAAGUGUAGAAUAACAUCACUUUUGAAAAUAUACAAGUUGCAAAAAUACAAUCAAAUUUGAAAAAUACUAUAAAGGAAUUUGUCGCCUUUUGAGCGGCCUGACUUAAAGCCGGAUACUGAUUGCCAGCCGAAGCAAUCAACCAUGUAUAGUAAAAGCACGCCUCCUUUAAGCGUGGGCACGUUGCGAGUUGGACAUGUGACAGCCAGCCAGCGAGCUAAAGAGGCAAUGAGAGGAAGGAGGGAGGGCGACAGCGCUCCGGCGAGAAUGAGAAAAAAGGAUUAAUUGCAUAAAGAGUGCUGUCUGAGAGAGAAAGAGAGAAUGACAUCAUCAUCUGGGUGGCAGCGACGAUGCCAACACAGCAUAUGAAGCACUGAGCACUGAGCACUGAAUAUCCUGGCUUUUCUAUAAGCCAUCGACUUGCACAUCUGCAUCCACACAUCCACAUCCGCAUCCUUUGCCAGGACAACACACACACUCACACAUACACAAACACAUAUGCAUGCUCGGCUGAAGGAUGCGCGACUCGCAUGUGUGGAGCAUUUUUUAAUAGUGUUUCGUGUGCCUCUUGGCGUUAAUUUAUGCCACAAAAUCAUUUUCUUUCAUACUCGCAGCCACAUGCAAAAUAAAAAUUAAAACUGAAAUAUGAAAAAACGAAAAGCAAAAGCAAAAUGAAAAUGAAAAUAAAAGCAACUAUACUGUACAUGAGUCGCUUCGUACAUGCAAAUUGCGUUGCAGCGCCCGCAGCGAUGAGACGCAGUUUAUGUCAAGUGAAAAAUGAGUGCGAACUAUGACAUGCAAUAUGAGCGCAUCCCAAAUGCAACGACGCCAUCGCCGUCUUGCUCAACCCCUUCCCCAUCCCCACUUUCACCCUUAAACCCCCAUCUUCAGUCCCUUCCCACAC